rnacentral:sRNA from 1 species
AUUCUGCCCAUGCGGGGAAGGAUGAGAAGCUUCGACUAAGGUUCGACUCGAGCGCCAGCGAGAGAGCAUUGCCGCAGGCAACGACCCGUAGGGCGAAGCGCGCAGCGCUGAGUAAUCCUUCCC